AUAAAUAAUGUACAGAAGUUGUAUUGUUUUGUUUUAAACAACCAUUGAUCCGUGUGAAGUGUGGUCAUUUCUGUAACUGUCAGGGUCCAGGGAGGUGUUCUUUUCAGGUCCACAGGUGGCAGCCGUUAGCAGAGUGGCGGAGGACUCAGGUGCAGCUCAUCAGGCUCGUUAGGGGAAGGCUUUUAAGGAGCGUGCUGCCAGCGGCUCGUCGCCUGAGUGUCUGCCUAUGUGAUCUCCUCCACGAUUUCCUCCACGGACCAUCACCAAGAUCCACCCCGCUCUGGACGAACUCCUCACGCUCCGUCAUCGCUGCUCCCGCUCCGUGCUCCUGGCUCAGCUCCUCCCGCUCACCCUCCACCGUAUCACCUCCAUUAAAGACUCCUUACUCA